AACGUACGCUGGCGGCACGCCUAACACAUGCAAGUCGAACGAAGUAGCAAUACUUAGUGGCAGACGGGUGAGUAACAUGUAGGUAUCUGCCCUUUGGCCUGGAAUAACACGAGGAAACUUGUGCUAACACCGGAUAAGUCUUUACGGAGAAAGCUUUAUGCACCAUUGGAUGAGCCUGCACUUGAUUAGUUUGUUGGUGGGGUAAUGGCCUACCAAGACUGUGAUCAAUAGCUGAUUUGAGAGGAUGAUCAGCCACAUUGGGACUGAGACACGGCCCAAACUCCUACGGGAGGCAGCAGUGGGGAAUCUUGCACAAUGGAGGAAACUCUGAUGCAGCGAUGCCGCGUGAGUGAAGAAGGCCCUUGGGUUGUAAAGCUCUUUCGUCGGGGAAGAAAAUGACUGUACCCGAAUAAGAAGGUCCGGCUAACUUCGUGCCAGCAGCCGCGGUAAUACGAAGGGACCUAGCGUAGUUCGGAAUUACUGGGCUUAAAGAGUUCGUAGGUGGUUGAAAAAGUUAGUGGUGAAAUCCCAGAGCUUAACUCUGGAACUGCCAUUAAAACUUUUCAGCUAGAGUAUGAUAGAGGAAAGCAGAAUUUCUAGUGUAGAGGUGAAAUUCGUAGAUAUUAGAAAGAAUACCAAUUGCGAAGGCAGCUUUCUGGAUCAUUACUGACACUGAGGAACGAAAGCAUGGGUAGCGAAGAGGAUUAGAUACCCUCGUAGUCCAUGCCGUAAACGAUGUGUGUUAGACGUUGGAAAUUUAUUUUCAGUGUCGCAGGGAAACCGAUAAACACACCGCCUGGGGAGUACGACCGCAAGGUUAAAACUCAAAUGAAUUGACGGGGACCCGCACAAGUAGUGGAGCAUGUGGUUUAAUUCGAAGAUACGCGCAGAACCUUACCAACACUUGACAUGUUCGUCGCGACUCUAAGAGAUUAGAGUUUUCGGUUCGGCCGGACGAAACACAGGUGCUGCAUGGCUGUCGUCAGCUCGUGUCGUGAGAUGUUGGGUUAAGUCCCGCAACGAGCGCAACCCUCACUUUUAGUUGCCAUCAUUAAGUUGGGCACUCUGAAAGAACUGCCAGUGAUAAGCUGGAGGAAGGUGGGGAUGACGUCAAGUCCUCAUGGCCCUUACGUGUUGGGCUACACACGUGCUACAAUGGUAUCUACAACAGGAAGCAAAACUGCGAAGUUAAGCAAAUCCCUAAAAGAUACCUCAGUUCGGAUUGCACUCUGCAACUCGAGUGCAUGAAGCUGGAAUUACUAGUAAUCGUGGAUCAGCGUGCCACGGUGAAUGCGUUCCCGGGUCUUGUACACACCGCCCGUCACACCAUGGGAGUUGGUUCUACCUUAAGGCAAGGUUUUAAACCCUUGACCACGGUAUAGUCAGCGACUGGGGUG
rnacentral:rRNA from 1 species